GUUCUAGAACAUCCAAAGUAAUGGGUACGAAGAAACAAAAAACACCAUCUUGUCACUGAAUCUAUUAUUUCCAUUGGAGCUAUGGCAAGGCGAUCUUAAUUAUAAGACUCAGGAUAACAUGAUGCUGUUCUUCUCUUCCCAUGGACUUCCCAACCUCCAGCUGAUUCAUAUGUCUAUGGGGCUUCCAUUGUUUUUGGUCACACCUGGCUUAAUUUCAUUGGAGAGAGGGUCAACUUCGAGCCAUUGGAUGAUGUCAUACCUGUCUCUGCUAGACCGAAGAGUAUUUGUUCCCCAUGAAGGCAAUGUUCUCUCUAUAUUUUUUUUGUACUGAGCAGGC